rnacentral:rRNA from 1 species
AUUGAACGCUGGCGGCAGGCCUAACACAUGCAAGUCGAACGAGUGGCGGACGGGUGAGUAAUGUCUGGGAAACUGCCCGCUGGAGGGGGAUAACUACUGGAAACAGUAGCUAAUACCGCAUACCAUCGGAUGUGCCCAGAUGGGAUUAGCUAGUAGGUGGGGUAAUGGCUCACCUAGGCGACGAUCCCUCGCUGGUCUGAGAGGCUGACCAGCCACACUGGAAUUGAGACACGGUCCAGACUCCUAGGGGAGGGAGCAGUGGGGAAUAUGGCACAAGGGGCGAAAUCCUGAUGCAGCAAUGCCGGGUGUAUGAAGAAGGCCUGCGGGUUGGAAAGUACUUUCAGCGAGGAGGCGUUACUCGCAGAAGAAGCACCGGCUAACUCCGUGCCAGCCGCCGCGGUAAUA